AAGUUAUGUGACAGCAGGUUAGCACUCCUGUUGAUAAGGAUAGAAAGGGUCUUAGCAGUCUUACAACACACAAAUGGUUAAAGCACUGCUGCCUACUUAGGGGCAUCCAAACAUGUUUUUUA